CAGCAGGAGAAUGGCUGUAAAAUGCCACUUUAUACUUUCUUGAAGCCAUUGCAGUUUUCUUGCAGGCGAGCGUGAGGAGUUUAAUGUAUAGUCUUCUACCCUUCUGCAGUUCGCUGUCAGGAUUUUAAGCCCUUCUCUUUACAAUCCCUUUUAACUUCACUGUACUUUGUCGACCUCUUUAAAAUCCUUCACUGAAUUUGUAGCAAUGUUUUCUGUGAAACGACUUAGGAGGGAAGGAAUUUAGCAGAGGAAAAACUUAGGUUUGUAAGUCUAAUCACUACUGUUGUCAGUGCACAGCUGUUGGGGCCUAGCUGCUGAGAGAAAAAGGCAGGGCCUUUUGUCCUGAGGUUGAUUGGCUCAGCAGGAUCUCCUUUACAUCAUCGUGGAUUUUUUUUAAUUUCGUGAAUUCCUUCAUUCCAGAGCUCCUACCUGAAAAUUUCCAAGCAAAGGUUCAAAGAGAGAACAUUCAAGAAGCACACAGUUUUGCAGGAGGCUUCAAAAAUGAAUUAAAUUCAUGUGGUGUGCAUUUCGUCAGCUAGUAACUGAGUAGUUUCUCAGAUCAGCAGGUAUAUCAGCAGGAUGAUAACUAUAAAAACUGUAUCAUCUGUAUGUGAGGUCCUGUGAUCGUCAUGAGGGCUCUGCCCCAAGAGCAAAAUAUCAAGUUCUUUUUUUCCCAGCAGUUACAGGCAGGACAAAGGUUGGACCAGCAUCAGAGAUAAAAUAAAGAGAGGCAAAAAGAGUUACUUGAAUUUGGCAUUCUGCAGUAAGCGAUACACAAGAAGCACCUAGGGGACUGCAGUUCUCAUCUGCUUCUCGGUGUGCAGGUAUUUCUGAAGAGAGGUGUGUGAUUGUCAGCAGUACGUGUCUGGAUCAGGACUCACCUUGUUACACUACAGCUGGGCUUUGUAAGUGCUCACCUUUCCCAUGACACACUGCUGUAUGCUUUCAGCCAAACAAAAUGGUGUAGACAAGUGUGAAUGUCUGCAAUAGAACAGGCACAUUUGAAGCCUUUUUGUUACAGAAAGGAAUAGAAGAAUCCUUUAUAUUUUGCUUAGUCUAUGGACUAGUCUUCUUCCAUCUCACUCCACCUCCUGUUGCUUUCAGUCCUUCUGUCUUCCUCAACAGAAAAAAAAUCACUCUGAUAAAUAUUCCUGGACUUGUUAAGGAUGACAGGAGUCAUGAAGAAAAGCGUGAGAAUGCUUAGG
rnacentral:lncRNA from 1 species